rnacentral:misc_RNA from 1 species
CGUCACCGCCGCCCUUCUCGUUACGUUUCUCUACAUCUGCAUUUCGAGCUCACGCGGCUCAUCACAGCUGAGGAGCGCGUAUCUCCCCAUUCCCGUCGUUGGCUUUGCGUCUUCCGCAGUCCCUCUCCGCGUACGAGACCCUGCUCCCUCGAUCGCUUCUCGUCCUCGUCCGCGACGCCCACUAGACACUUAUUGCAUACGCGUACGUUCCCAGCGCCUCCAUCGUGCGCGAUAGCACCCCUCCCCCGAUCUCCUCCUCGAUUUGCACUGUCCUCCUGAACGGUGCUCGGAGCAUCUCUUGCAAACAUGAGUAGCUCCACGCUAGCCGAGGCGCUGAAUCGCCUGAGCCGCUGCAGGGAGCCGGCAGAUCUCAUCUACAGCGGGGAUGCUGCGCGCCUACUGGGCAGCGCCGCUCCGCCGCAAAGCGCGGCGCCGACUGUUUCACCACCACGCGGGACCAGCCCCGUAGACGACUACUCGGUGCUGCUCGCUCGCCGGAUAGGUACGAUGGUGGCCCGCCUCAACGAGCUCUCGGGCCCCACCUCCCAGCUUGUCCUCACCCCACGAAUGGUGCUUUGGGAGUUGAUGGACAUUGUGCGUCAAGCCCUUUGCGAUGCCCUCCCAGCGGAUAUGCGGAAGGGCGCCUCGCCGACGGACAAGGCGGCGGUGGCGAAGCAGUUUAACUCGUACGCCUCCUCGCGGCAAGUGCCGAUCGACUCUGCCGUUGAGGGACUCUACGCGGUCUCCUACGUGAGCGUGAAGCUGCGCGUCGAGCUGGUGGCGUUGCAGCUGCAGCGUCGCAUUCAGGAGGAACUCGCCAAGAAACACACGAAGACCGCCGCGGAGAGUGUCGCGGCGCUUGUCGUAACACAGACGCUUUUGGAAGACUUUGUGGCGGUGUACAAUAACAUCAUGCUCACUGUGCCUAUCGUCAAGGCAGCAGUCCGCGAGAGUAACGCCGAGGAGGCAGCGCGGCGGCUGGCACCGGUCUACCCGCAGUACUACUACCAGCUCUGCGAUUGGGUGCUCGUCCUCGAGUCGACCAUGAGUUCGCCACCGAUGUCCUACACGCAGGUGACGCGGGUGAAGAUCAAUGAGCAGGAUGGCACCGCUGUCGUUGACUUGCAUCGGCCUACGCCAGAGACGCCGUGGGGGCUGUUGCUCAACGAGCAGGGCGCGCUGGUGGACAUCGACGUGAGCCUGCGCGUCUUUGAGAAAGCGAGAAAGCUGCACGACCUGCUUCAGUCCACCCCGCAAGGUGCAUCCAUCGUGAUGAUAAAGGGUCGCUCGGUCGAACCUGUGGCGCACGGCGAUUACGCGGCCUACACGCGGCAUCUGCUGCAGACCUUACAGUCAGCGACGGAAGGACGCAAGAACGUGCAGCUGGUGCUCAAGUCUAGCUCGUUUAGGCAGAAGCCCGCUCGCUGCCGACGGAAGUGGCCUUUCUGACACCACCACAAGGCGGCGAAGGCACCUCUGGCCAGCGCGUGACGCUGAUUCUGCGCCGGCAGAGCACCGCAGCGGAGUGGGGCUUCACGGUCGACGAGCAACUUUACUGGCGCGCGCCCUCAACGCACAUUCUGUCAAAGCCGGCGAAGGAGUUCGUGCGCGAGUAUGGCAUGCAGCUACGACUGCUGGCAGUGAACGGCGUUGAGGCGCUGCACAUGACGCAGGUGCAGCUCCUGAUAGAGGCAGCCGAGACUGUCGUGUUGGAGCUGCUCGUGAUGCCCAAGUCCGCACAAGAUCGCCUGACUGCCUCACGCAGCACCACAACGACGACGGCUGUCGCGGCCACAACGCACAGCAGAGAGAUGCUAUCGGCAGAAGCUGCGGAGCCACGUAAUAGGAUAAGUGGCGAUGGCCUCGACAGAGGCCGCAUGGAGGCGGCCGUUAGCAAAUUCUUGCAGGAGCGUGCCGCCGAUCCCACUGCGCCCGCCGUCCCGAGUGCGGUUGACCCGCCGAUCGCGAUGGAGACACCGCUGGUGGAGUCUGUUACUAUACCACCAUCGCCAGCCGCCGCGGCCGCCGUGAUUGCGGCGGAGGGCGUCAGGAAGGGGAAGAAGCGUGGACGAAAACCGAAAGCCUUGAAGCAGCAGCUUGCAGAAUCUACUGUGCCUCAAUCGGCAGCGGUUUCGCGAUCCGCAGCGGACGCCGAACCCACGGCCGUGCCCUCGGCGGAGGCCAUCGCACAAAAUAGAGAUGGGAUAGAGGCUGAAAAGACAGCGAACGACGCGAGUGAGCCACCAGGUGCUUGUCCGCAAAAACCGGAGGGAGAACUCGUGGAACCGUGCACGUUCGACAACCAGGUCAAGCUUACCCACCUUUCCGAGGAUGAGAUGGUGCUGGAGCGGCCUUCCGUGGACACGCCGUGGGGACUGCCGAUUGGUCGCCUGACGGAUCCGUCUGAGGCACCGCAGCAGCUGCCUCUGCGCUUGAUGAGUCUGCCAAAGAGUCGCAAGGCAAGGGUGCGUCAGCAUCCCUUCUUCAGCAACUUCAGGAAGCAGCCCACCACGUGGUACAUCGCCGCGGUAAACGGCACCCCAGCGUCGGAUGCUGAGGCGACGCUGAAGCAUAUUAGCCAGCUCACUCGCAUGACACUGCGCUUUCUGCGAAAGUAGACACAAAGAGACACCAGUGGCCUUUUUUGUGCACGCUCCUCGCCGAGUACGCAGGCAGUGUGCAGGUCUGGUGCUGUGCCACUGCGGACGUCUUUGAAUUGCGAAGGCGUGAACCACCAGAUGUAUCGAUGGGAUUCCGCGCAUUUGCAAUCGGUUACGCGCCCUCCUUCUCGUGCCUGGUGCCUUUCUCACGACGCCAUGCGUCCUCUCUUUUGAGUGUUGCGGCCAUCGCUUGUGGCCAUGCGCCGAGCACUGUUACGUCUCCAUAGAUGCCGCAACGUGCGAAUACUGUCGUGUUUGUUUUUGUAUCGUCUUCCUGUUGCCUCCCACCAUAGAAGUGCUUCUCGAGUCUUGUCCUCAGGCGCCGACGAGCUGUGACGCAGCGCUCCGCGUGUUGUGUUUCUCUGUGCGCCUCGUUAUCUUGUGCCGGGCCUUGGCUGCACCUGCCUCCUUUCUAUUUUUAUUUUGAUCACGAGUAGAGAGGCACGUGCGAUGCGACGCGGUCUUCAUUGUCACGCGUCUUGCUGUGCUCGGAUGCGUGACUGCCUGUGCACGCCUUGUUUUCGUGGGGGCCGCGCGCACUUCAGAGAAGUUGUCCUUGACGGAUGCUUUACAGGAGCAGGCAAGGGGAAUAAGAAAAAAAAAACGGAAGAGAUAAGACCAAAGAAGGAAGAAGCCCUUCGCCUGGAGGUGUAUCAAGGGAGCCUUGCUGCAGAGUGGAGUCCGG